GGCACUGUAAUGUAGUGGGUUGAGUGUUGGACUAGGAUUCUGGAGAACAGGGUUCAAAUCCCUGCUUAGCCA